UACGAAGGGGGCUAGCGUUGCUCGGAAUCACUGGGCGUAAAGCGCACGUAGGCGGAUUGCUAAGUCAGGGGUGAAAUCCUGGAGCUCAACUCCAGAACUGCCUUUGAUACUGGCGACCUUGAGUCCGGGAGAGGUGAGUGGAACUUCGAGUGUAGAGGUGAAAUUCGUAGAUAUUCGCAAGAACACCAGUGGCGAAGGCGGCUCACUGGCCCGGUACUGACGCUGAGACGCGAAAGCGUGGGGAGCAAACAGG
rnacentral:rRNA from 1 species